rnacentral:rRNA from 1 species
UACGGAGGGUGCGAGCGUUGUUCGGAAUCACUGGGCGUAAAGCGCGUGUAGGCGGCCCACUAAGUCUGAUGUGAAAGCCCGGGGCUCACCCCCCGGAAGUGCAUUGGAAACUGGUGGACUCGAGUCCCGGAGAGGAGAGGUGGAAUUCCGUAGGUCGUAGCGGUGAAAUGCGUAGAUAUCGAGGAGGAACACCGGUGGCGAAAGCGAACUCCUCGUGGAACGGCAACUGACGGCUGAG